GGAGAGGUGCCAGAGUGGUCGAAUGGGACACACUGCUAAUGUGUUGAUCGAGCAAUCGAUCCGAGGGUUCGAAUCCCUCCCUCUCCGCCA
rnacentral:tRNA from 2 species